rnacentral:rRNA from 1 species
AUUGAACGCUGGCGGCAUGCCUUACACAUGCAAGUCGAACGGUAACGGGCCUUCGGGUGCCGACGAGUGGCGAACGGGUGAGUAAUGCAUCGGAACGUACCUUUCAGUGGGGGAUAACGUAGCGAAAGUUACGCUAAUACCGCAUAUUCUGUGAGCAGGAAAGCAGGGGAUCGCAAGACCUUGCGCUGAUUGAGCGGCCGAUGUCAGAUUAGCUAGUUGGUGAGGUAAAGGCUUACCAAGGCGACGAUCUGUAGCGGGUCUGAGAGGAUGAUCCGCCACACUGGAACUGAGACACGGUCCAGACUCCUACGGGAGGCAGCAGUGGGGAAUUUUGGACAAUGGGGGGCAACCCUGAUCCAGCCAUGCCGCGUGAGUGAAGAAGGCCUUCGGGUUGG